AGGGUGUAAACGCUGCAGACUUGGUGUUGGAAGCCCUUUGGGGGCAUUCAGUGCCGGAGAGAAGUUGUUAAGUCUGCUACUUGGGGAGUACGUCCGCAAGGAUGAAACUUAAAGGAAUUGGCGGGGGAGCACCGCAACGGGAGGAGCGUGCGGUUUAAUUGGAUUCAACACCGUAAACUCACCAGGGAAGACUGUUACAUGAAGGCCGAGAUGAAGACUCUGCCAGAUUUUCAGAGAGGUGGUGCAUGGCGUCAGUGACU
rnacentral:rRNA from 1 species